GAUCUUGGUUCAGGAUGAACGCUAGCGGCAGGCUUAACACAUGCAAGUCGAGGGGCAUCGGGAGUAGCAAUACUUGCCGGCGACCGGCGCAAGGGUGCGUAACGCGUGAGCAACAUGCCCGUAUCAGGGGGAUAAUCCAUGGAAACGUGGUCUAAUACCCCAUAGUAAUUAUGGUAAGGCAUCUUAUAUAAUUUAAAGCUUUGGUGGAUACGGAUUGGCUCGCGUGACAUUAGCUAGAUGGUAAGGUAACGGCUUACCAUGGCUACGAUGUCUAGGGGUUCUGAGAGGAAGGUCCCCCACACUGGAACUGAGACACGGUCCAGACUCCUACGGGAGGCAGCAGUGAGGAAUAUUGGACAAGUGGAUGGAAAUCUGAUCCAGCCAUGCCGCGUGCGAAGGAAGACCGGCCCUAGUGGGUUAGUAAACUGCUUUUGUAUGGGAGCAAUAAGGGCUACGUGUAGUCCGAUGAGAGUACCAUACGAAUAAGCACCGGCUAACUCCGUGCCAGCCGCGGC
rnacentral:rRNA from 1 species